rnacentral:rRNA from 1 species
GGCUCAGGAUGAACGCUAGCGGCAGGCUUAAUACAUGCAAGUCGUGGGGCAGCAUGAGUAGCAAUACUUGAUGGCGACCGGCAAACGGGUGAGGAACACGUACACAACCUUCCUUCAAGCGGGGAAUAGCCCAGAGAAAUUUGGAUUAAUACCCCAUAAUAUAUUUGAUAAGGCAUCUUAUUAAUAUUAAAGCUUCGGCACUUGAUGAUGGGUGUGCGGCUGAUUAGAUAGUUGGCGGGUAACGGCCCACCAAGUCUACGAUCAGUAGCUGAUGUGAGAGCAUGAUCAGCCACACGGGCACUGAGACACGGGCCCGACUCCUACGGGAGGCAGCAGUAAGGAAUAUUGGACAAUGGACGAAAGUCUGAUCCAGCCAUGCCGCGUGAAGGAUUAAGGUCCUCUGGAUUGUAACCUUCUUUUAUAUGGGACGAAAAAAGGGCAUUCUUGUUCACUUGACGGUACCAUAUGAAUAAGCACCGGCUAACUCCGUG